rnacentral:lncRNA from 1 species
AGAUCAGGAAGACAUGGUUCCCGAGCCCGUUCCGCAGGAGGACGACGAAGGGGAUGCCUAGAGACUCUGUAGUCAUGCUCAUAGCUUUGUUUUCGAGUUUCUCUUUUAGUUAGUUUAACCUUUUAUAAUUUAAGUACGUUUUUGGUUUUCGUGUAAGGGAUGUUAACUGAAAUUUUGAUCUCGCUUCCGCAUUUGAUAUAUUUAAAUACUCAUUUCAUUUUAAUAUUUUCGGGGCCGUUACAUUGACUCAUUUCG